rnacentral:tmRNA from 1 species
GGGGACGUAAUGGUUUCGACAGGGGUGCGUGUGGUAUAGAUAGCGAGUCGGCGUUCCAUGAGGCCGUUAAACGGUGGGAAAACAUUUAAACGCAGAAGAAAAUUUUGCAUUAGCUGCAUAAGCUACGUUCAUCUCUCUCUCGCCCGUGGAGAGGGAAUGAACGUCAAACAACGGGCUGGCUUAAUUUAGUUGUUCAUAUAAAUUAGGCGAGACUUUAUGAACUGGAGUUCUGUAGUUUGUCGGUGAGCGAUAGGAACUUGAGAUCUUAAAUCAUUGACUGCACUCGGAGAGAUUUAUAUGGCAACACUUUUGGACAGGGGUUCGACUCCCCUCGUCUCCACCA